ensembl:rRNA 5S_rRNA 5S ribosomal RNA
GUCUAUGGCCAUACGACCCUGAACAUGCCCAAUCUCGUUUGAUCUUGGAAGCUAAGCAGUGUCAGGCCUGGUUAGUACUUGGACGGAAGAUAUAACCCAUAUAAACGAAAACUGUUUGGAGUCCUACAAA